UGGUUGAUCCUGCCAGUAGUCAUA
rnacentral:rRNA from 1 species